UUAGAGCUAAAGGAGACAUCUUAACCUACUAUAUGAGGAAGUUCUGGGCAUCUCUUGGACUUCCUCUUCUUUCCUUCCUGUAUGUUCUGGUUUUGUCCUUGUUUUUCUUGCUUGUUGUGGUUGGUAUGAGGGUUGUUUUGAAGAGAUCUUGCCUGAAGGCUGAGGGUUUGUGUGUGUGUUGUAAAAGGGGUAAGGAGGUGCAGUGAGAUCCUAGGGGCAGCAGAUGAGAGUGGCUGCAAACUUCUAUUGUUGACUAUUCCGAACAACAAUUUUAAAUAUGAAGUUCUAUUGUGUUAUAAAAAGGGUUUUGUUGUGGUAUUUGAGUUAAAGUCCAGAGCUCUUCAAUCUGGAAUUAAGGAAUAAUUGCUUAAAGCUUGACACUCUCUAGCAUGUUGGCUUAUUGUACGGCUUUGUCUCCAGUAACACUUCAGGAGAUGUUUUCCUAAAAAUACAAAAUCAAUCUUUUAACCACAGAUUGGUGUUUAUAAGAGGGCUUCUCAUCUUCCCUCUGCCUAUUGCUGUGUAAGUGGAGAACAGAGAGUGCCACGACAUAUUUCCAGAUCAAAGGAGGAAAGACUUCCCAAAGCCACUGAAAAAGUGGUGUUUGAGGAAGGCUAAAUCUUAAUCUGGAAAUUACUAUUCUUUACAGGAUGCAGCCCUCAUUGUUGGAGGUACAUAGAAAAUAUUGCUCUUCUACAGUUAACCCUGUCUAAAAAACCAGAUGUUUUUAAAUUGCUCUUCAGUACAGUACUUCCAGAUUUUGGUCUUUUUCAUUCUUUUAAUCUCUGCUUCUUCUUCCUUCUCUUCUGCCAGUUUUUGUCAGUUGAGUCUGCCAAAGAAUAUUUCUUGUUUCCUUUUAAAUCCCUACCACAUCCUCUGCUACUUAAACUAGAACACCAACCUACUCUUCUUAUCUCUGCAGCAUGCAGCCUCAUCUCUUCUGGCAGCAGCUGGGUUUGAAGAUUUCACUGGGACGUGUAAGAGGUGGUUUAAUUCCACCAUCGUACUGAACCAUGGUUUUUAGCUCCCUGUUUGCUUCCUGAACUUCUGAAUAAAUCACAUUGUUGGAGCUUUGCAGCAGUUUGGAGAAGUAUUGGUGCUAGAAGGAAAGGCUUAUUUUAACUAGCAGUUAAAGAUAUUAUCAUGAUGUUAUCAUGAAUAUUUGGGAGGAGGAGUUGAGGUUGGAGUGUGGGUUUUUUUCUAGUUCCUGAAAUGUAACUGUUCAGCCCCUUCUCCCCUCUGAUUUUCUUCUGUUUACUGAUGUAAAGUUGCUGAGGAGCUCUUUUGUUGAAGUACAAAUGUAGCAUUGCCCUGGAUAUUGUGGGGUUUUAGCACUGAAUGUAUGAGAAGUUUGGAAAAGUUAAUAUUGAUGACUCUUGGAGUGUGUGUAAGACUAAUGACAUGCCGUGUCUUCAUCUGGCUGCUUUUUUAGGUAUCAGAGUUCAGUCUGAAACACCUCUGUGCCUUUCUUAUCUUCAUGUCCAUGUGUGCUCUGUCAGGAAACUUCAUAACUUGAUACUCUUAUCCCUUGGUGCAAAAUGGGCCUGGCUCUUCCUGAAGGCAGACAUACUUGCCUUGUAUGUAUUCCACUAGAGCUGAUAACCUGCUUCUUGUGCCUAAGGAUGGAAAGGAGGUUUAUCUCUGUUCUUCUGGCCUUCUGGAUGGAGCUGCCUGGCCUUGCUUUUGCUGUUUGGAUGCUUAUUUGUUUCUAUGCAUCUGUGAGUGGCUAUCCAAAUGGAAAAGUAAGAGCAGCCUGCACCAGCAUGAUACCCUGUCAUGGUAGCUCUCCACAGCUGUCACCUGAGCACACCAUUACAGUGAAUGGGACUGAAUUUAAACCAGGGGACAGCAUAGAAGUUCAUCUGUCCGGACCAGUUUUUGAAGGCUUCUUCAUCCAAGCCCGGGAUGCAGAGCACCUGGAGAGCCCUGCACUUGGUUCUUUUAUGUUAGCUGACCGGAGAGUGUCUCAGCUCCUGACAUGUGGCCAUACCAAGAAUUCAGCUGUCAGUCACACAAGUAAAGCAAAAAAGAAACACAUCAAAGUUUAUUGGAUUGCUCCUGGGGAUGCACCAAAACGGGUACAGUUUCUAGCCACAGUUGUGAAGAAAUACAAGACUUUCUGGGUGAAGAUUCCUGGUCCCAUUGUUUCUCAGCCUAAUGCACUGUCCCCAACAACACCCUUGCACGCAACAUCAGAGGCUGUAUCAACUUCACACCCUGCUUCCUACUUAUCAAAGCCAUUUAAUGCAUCGGGUUGUGGAAGGACCAAGUUCUGCAUUAGGAACCCUUCAAACUGUGAUCCUGAAAGUGCUUCCUGUUUUUUUCUGUCUUUCCAACAAGAGAGGAGCUCAGUAUUUAUUGAAAUGAGUGGUCCAAGUGAAGGAUAUUUAGCAUUUGCGUUGUCCCAUGACCAGUGGAUGGGUGGUGAUGAUGCAUAUCUGUGUGUUGGUGAGGACCACCGCAUUCACACCAUCACUGCCUACCUGAAGGGGCGAAGUCCUCCUGUUUUGGAUUCAGAGAAUGCCCUUGAGGAUGUGUCAUGGAGGCUUGUGGAUGGUCUUCUUCAGUGUUCUUUCAGAAGAAGUAUUCGUCUCCCUGCUUACAAAGGGAGGUUUAAUCUGGAUGCCAGCUACUACAUCUUUCUGGCAGAUGGGGAAGCUAGUGAAGGUGGAGUAAUACACAAACAUCAUCACCAGCCUCUGAUCACCAAUGGAAUGUACAAUGUCACAGGCCUUCCUCAGGAUAUUGGAGGUUCCCGGUCUCCACGACUUAUCAAGGCUCAUGGAGCACUGAUGUUCAUUGCUUGGGUUACCACAGUUAGUAUUGGUGUCAUUGUUGCACGAUUCUUCAAACCUGUCUGGUCUCAUUCAUUUCUGUUUGGAAAGGAGAUGUGGUUUCAGGUGCAUCGUAUGCUUAUGUUGACCACAGUCAUGCUCACAAGCAUUUCUUUUGUGUUGCCUUUUAUAUACCGAGGAGGUUGGAGCCAACAAGCAGGUUUUCAUCCCUAUCUCGGCUGUACUGUGAUGGCACUGGCAAUCUUUCAGCCACUUAUGGCAGGUUUCAGACCAUCUCGUCAUGCACCAAGGAGGCAAUUGUUUAACUGGUUUCACUGGAGUACUGGUACAGCAGCUAGAAUACUAGCUGUGGUGACUAUGUUCUUGGGAAUGGACCUACCAGCACUUGACCUGCCUGACCCCUGGGACACCUAUACAAUGAUUGCUUUUGUAACUUGGCAUGUCGGCACUGAUGUUCUUCUGGAAGUACACAGCUACUGUCUCAUACGUAAAGGUAUCUAGAUCAGUUCUUGCUUAAGGAUUAACAUAUUGGCUGGGAAAUAAGCUGACUUUUUACAUUGCCUGAAGAAAUGUUUGAAAAAUCGAACCCAUCAGAACUUGCUGUUUGCCACAGAUGUCCAUGCAAAAUAACAAGUGCAACCAGCCACAGCAAUAAUGGAAUAUUGCCAAAACUGUGCUACCAGAAUGCAGGCCAGCCCAGCCCAGAAGAGAACUGAAACAGCUCCUUGAUUCCUGUUGAAAACCUUGGAAGUCAGAAGCAAGUGCUCACUGUGAGGAGAUGGCCUUUUGAAAAAGGAAAUGUGGCAAACAGGAAAAGAAGGCAUUUAAGGAAGAUGCACAGCUGAAUUGUUGGCUUGGCCUUAUCACAUUCUAGAUAGAGGAAUGGAAGAUGAAUUGAUUCACACCCAAAUUCCACUGCAGUCAUCAGCAGAAACUUUAGAACUGGGUGCAGGGGCCACGUGUCCACCUCCAUGAGCAGCUGUUAAAGUGCAAGGAUCUCUGAGCUUGUGUUCUGACAUGCUUUUAGUUGGUUGAUCCAGUUCUAUAAUGGGAGUGGUCAGGUGUUAUGGAUGCAACCAUGGUGACAGAGAUGUCUCUUACCUGCUGGAGAGCUCUUGUAUGUUUUAAGAAGUUAAGGAACUCUGCUGUAGCUUCUGUAUGUUUGUUUGCAUAAGAAUAGUCACUGGCAGGGCUGUCAAGUGCUUGAUGGAUCAAUGAUCUCUCCAAUCUCUUCUAUUUGUUAAGUGCCUACAAAUUGCUCUGCCCAUUUCAGGGAUUUUAUUACAGGCCAAAGAAAGCAAAGCGUGGGACUGCAUUUAGAUGUCACAUUUAUCACGACCCCUUUGCAAUUGGCGACAAGGCAAGAGGACUGUAAGAAAAACAGUCUGAGAUGCUAAAUCCUGUUGAUGCUGUGUUAUUGUGCUUUGGGAAUGCACAUAUCCAUCCAGAUCCGUGGUUUAGUUCAGAUCAGGAAUAUGCUUCUGAAGCCGCUUUGCCUGUCCCUGUUGAAUGUGCUUUGAUUCACAUCAUGGAGCAGUCUUGGGGGCUUUAUUGCAUCUCUUUCAGAUGAAACUGAAGAGGACGAUGUAUUCCAAGAGCACAUUUGAUGCUCACCAGCUGCAUCCAGCCCCUGAUGGGACCGGCCUAGUUUUUGUUUGAGGUAAACUCCCAUGAAAUACGCAUAGUGAAGACGUCGGGUCAUCAGCACCCGCUGUUUCAUUCUGCAGCUCGCUCUCUAGUGAACCCCGGUCCUUGCUGAUGUGUACAUGGCCUCUGCCUUGUGAGUGUGAUUCCUGUUAGCAGAGGUGGUAUCUGUCUCUUUGGCCUUGGAAGUCCUUGUGGAAAUGUCUCUUAAUUAUGUUUCCACACAUCCAAUUGCACUUUCUUUAUAUUAGGAGGGAAGGAGGAGGGAAAUCAGUUCCUUGCCAGAGGCCAGUCUGAGGUUUUACUGAAUACAUGGCAGAUUGCUCAGUGCUGAGGUUCUGUUUUGCCUUAACUGGAGAAGCUGGAAUCAAUUGUAUUUACGUUCAAAUAAAUACCAUUUCUGAAGGCUUCUGGGACACAUUUUCAUUUCCAUUUUCUUUCCUGCCUUCCCAAAAAUCUCUUUCCCAAAGGAAGUAAUAGAGGCUGACCUUCAGAUGCCAUGUUUCUUCAUGUGGUAUGUAUUUUGAGAAAGCUUGAAUCUAGUGAGACUAAAAGAAAACUAAAUGUAAGUAAUGAUGAACUAAUGCAGUCCUAAUGGAAUGCUCCUUGACUGACUGGGAUUUAAUGGCAUGGCAGCAUAGCAAAUUUCUGGAUUUUAAUGAGAUUAGCAAAAUAUCUGCCCUUUACGUCAUACUAUUAAUAGGCUGAACUUGAUUAAAUUAGACCAGAAGCAGUCUGCAGACUGAAGAAGGCAUAUUGUGGAAAUAGUGAGUUCAGCAUCAGUGACACAGCGAAGAUUUUUAGGCAUAAAUCACAGCCACAUUACAUUUGGAAAGCUCCAUACAUUAGCAGAUUGAACUGGUGAUGCUUCUUUCUCCCCUUCUCUGAGUUCUCUGUAGGCUGCACUGAACUCUGGGACAGAAAGUGCAUAAAUAUCAAAUCUCAAUAGUUUGAGAUCAAAUCUCCUCAGUAAGAGGAGAGUAUUUGGAGCAUAUGGGAUAGUUCAGAGCAGUUUUGAGGUGAUCUUGGUUUUCUGACUUUUACUUGUAAUUUUAUCCUGUGGCCAAAGCUAGCAAUCACUGAUGUAUCUGAGAUUGAUGUGUCUCUAGCAUCUACACAUAGGAAGUGAUCUUCCUUCAGAUUUUAGGCAAUUCUUCUGUGGAAUUUAGGUAGUCUAUGAUAAAAGUGUCUUCCAGUUAGAAGUUCAAUCCAAGCAAAUGGCUUGAGUGGAGUUCAUAAAAUACUUGAUGUGCUUUUCAGACAUGAAACAUGCUUGUCACUUUUGUUCCUCACUGGAACUCUUAGGCAGGAAAGAAGCUUCAAAGCAAUGUUAGUGUCACAGGGUGUUACUAACUCUUCUUUGCAGUUGGAUGAAGCCUUGAAGAAUUUGGGGUAAAACUGAGCUGUCUUAAUGAAACAGCAAUUUUGAAUGUGUAUUAUGUCCCAAGCUAAUGGCUGCUUCAGGAUGUUGCUUCAUUAACCGGGGAGCAUUAAAAGCUCAAAACCACGAUGAAGGAUGUGUUAAUCAAAAAUAUUAAUGAAAUGUGCUGACCUCCAGAUAGAUGUUCCCAUGCACAAAAAUAAGGGCUCUGUAAUUGAGAUCCAUUAAGCAUUGUGGCUGUAUUGGCUGAGUUAGCAGCCUCAGGUGCUGCCUGGCAUUCAAUAUUGCCAAUUUUUUGCUCUAUUAGCUAUAUAAAUGGAGGGAAAAAAAGAGAGUCUUAACGGCAGUCCAGUCUUUGCUAAUGGGAAGGUGCUUAAGAUGCAAAUGAAAAGCUCUCCUAUCCCCUCUUUCAACAGCUAUAGUAAGUGUAUUCAGCCUGUCCUUGCUUUCCCCCUGUUAAAAAAGAAAUGCACUAUUUGAGACUAAGCAGUGCAGGAUUCCGCGGUGCUCAGUGGCUGUGCUACAAUACAAGACCAGAGAUCUCAUUCCCACCUAAGGACACCUCUUUCUUUUUGUAGCAGAAACUCAUUAAUUUUAAUACACACCAGUGAAGCAGCUGAGUGGGCUUUGAGGUCGCCUUCUUACAGGCAUGUUGUGUUGAUUCUGCACCACUGAGUUCAUUACUCUUUUAUUGAGGAAAGCAAGGAGGAGUGCAGUGUGUAUGGUCCUAAUGCUGUCUUGCUCAGAUAUCACGGGGCAUCAGCACUCUCCAGAAACAUAAGAGAGCCUGCUUGAAAAAUGAAACGAAGCAUUCUUUGGUUGGUUUAAUCCACAAGUGAGGAACACACGGCACAUAUUUCUACAUGAUUUGCUGCUUCUCUAUUUCCUUCUUGCCCUAAAGUUAUGCAGGUCAAGGCUAGGAAAAUUGGCUGCAUGAGAAAUAAAUGUCAGCGAUGCAAUUCAGGGCCAACAAGGGACUUGUCUGCAUUUCCUCUGCAAACAGCUGUAUGUGAGGUACUUUUCUCAAGCCUACAAUGUUUAACUGUGCUGACAUGAGUAUUUUUACAUGUGCUUUCUGUGUUGCUUCUAUAGGAUUGAGACUUCUUUCAAACCUUGGGAGCCCAGGUCCAUUUCUGCCAGUUCCUGAAUGGGCCUGGAAGUCUCAGCCCACUUCUGCCAGGAUGCAUGAGGGAGGCAUUCAGCUCAUAUUUAGGUCAGUGAAGCUCUUCAGGGGAAGCACAAGACCUGCGUGCAUUGAUUCAGGUCCAAUUCAGAUUUGAAUUUUGAAUGGAGCUUUAAUUCAGCUGUCACAUCCUCAGUCUUCUUUGUCCCACCUCUGUGCUGUCAAUAAAAACUAAGCAGCAAAUAGAGACUCUGUAAACUUCAGCACACUGUCAUUUGCAGUUAGUGCUCGGGCAGAAUAUGCUCGGGCAGGAUUUCUGCAUAUUAGCGAUGGUUUUACUUUGUUCAUUAAGGAAAGAUCUAUUUAAUUUCAGUUUUGAUUCUGCAGAUUUUCUCAGGACUCAGCUGUGGGGAUUAAAUCCAAGCAGCUGCUCUUAAAGUUUCUAAGACCAAGUCUCCCUUCUUCCUUUCUCUUUUUAGGUUUGUCUCUCCUUACAGUCCCUGUUUAAAUAUGCCCUUUUUUCCUGCUUUGCCCCAAGAUUUGUCAUUUCUAAAUUAUAGACCCCAAAGUCUCCUUUCGAUGCAGUAGCCCCCUACUCUGAAAAACAUGUAUCAAAAGGUCCAGCAGAGGCUUAUCUUACCUACAUCUCCUGGGCAAUGGUUCAGGAAAAAGAAUGAAGGGAAGCAUAUUGGAAUGUCUCCCAGUAACCCCAUGCUGUUGUCUCCCUGUGGUGAUCAAUUAGUGUCCUG